AUUGAACGCUGGCGGCGGGCCUAACACAUGCAAGUCGAGCGAGCGGCGGACGGGUGAGUAAGGUAUGGGGAGUGCCCGAUAGAGGGGGAUGACUACUGGAAACGGUGGCUACUGCCGCUAACUAUCGGAAAACCCAUAUGGGAUUAGCUAGUAGGUGGGGUAAAGGCUCACCUAGGCGACGAUCUCUAGCUGGUCUGAGAGGAUGAUCAGCCACACUGGGACUGAGACACGGCCCAGACUCCUACGGAGGCAGCAGUGGGGAAUAUUGCACAAUGGGCGCAAGCCUGAUGCAGCCAUGCCGCGUGUAUGAAGAAGGCCUUAGGGUUGUAAAGUACUUUCAGCGGGGAGGCGUUACCCGCAGAAGAAGCACCGGCUAACUCCGUGCCAGCAGCCGCGGUAAUAC
rnacentral:rRNA from 1 species